rnacentral:lncRNA from 1 species
GCCACGAAGGCCACACAGUAUAACCCAACAACGCAUAUGCACAAAUAUCAACACAGCAUAUAGCUACUUAGCAUAUACUUAGUAUGUGAUUCAUCCCAACAUCAACCACGACAACAAUCAAACAUCCACAAGAAAGCAGUAAUGACAGAAACCAGUAAACGGCCAAAGCCUCUCAGAAAACGGAGACACACGUCUCAAUAAGUUUAC